rnacentral:rRNA from 1 species
GACGAACGCUGGCGGCGUGCUUAACACAUGCAAGUCGAACGGAAAGGCCCUGCUUUUGUGGGGUGCUCGAGUGGCGAACGGGUGAGUAACACGUGAGUAACCUGCCCUUGACUUUGGGAUAACUUCAGGAAACUGGGGCUAAUACCGGAUAGGAGCUCCUGCUGCAUGGUGGGGGUUGGAAAGUUUCGGCGGUUGGGGAUGGACUCGCGGCUUAUCAGCUUGUUGGUGGGGUAGUGGCUUACCAAGGCUUUGACGGGUAGCCGGCCUGAGAGGGUGACCGGCCACAUUGGGACUGAGAUACGGCCCAGACUCCUCCGGGAGGCAGCAGUGGGGAAUAUUGCACAAUGGGCGGAAGCCUGAUGCAGCAACGCCGCGUGCGGGAUGACGGCCUUCGGGUUGUAACCCGCUUUAGCCUGUGACGAAGCGUGAGUGACGGUAAUGGGUAAAGAAGCACCGGCUAACUACGUG